GAUGAACGCUGGCGGCGUGCCUAAUACAUGCAAGUCGAGCGAACGGACGAGAAGCUUGCUUUUCUGAUGUUAGCGGCGGACGGGUGAGUAACACGUGGAUAACCUACCUAUAAGACUGGGAUAACUUCGGGAAACCGGAGCUAAUACCGGAUAAUAUUUUGAACCGCAUGGUUCAAAAGUGAAAGACGGUCUUGCUGUCACUUAUAGAUGGAUCCGCGCUGCAUUAGCUAGUUGGUAAGGUAACGGCUUACCAAGGCAACGAUGCAUAGCCGACCUGAGAGGAUGAUUGGCCACACUGGAACUGAGACACGGUCCAGACUCCUACGGGAGGCAGCAGUAGGGAAUCUUCCGCAAUGGGCGAAAGCCUGACGGAGCAACGCCGCGUGAGUGAUGAAGGUCUUCGGAUCGUAAAGCUCUGUUAUUAGGGAAGAACAUAUGUGUAAGUAACUGUGCACAUCUUGACGGUACCUAAUCAGAAAGCCACGGCUAACUACGUG
rnacentral:rRNA from 1 species